AGUGAACGCUGGCGGUAGGCCUAACACAUGCAAGUCGAACGGCAGCACAGUAAGAGCUUGCUCUUACGGGUGGCGAGUGGCGGACGGGUGAGGAAUACAUCGGAAUCUACUUUUUCGUGGGGGAUAACGUAGGGAAACUUACGCUAAUAUCGCAUACGACCUACGGGUGAAAGCCGGGGAUCUUCGGACCUUGCGCGAUUGAAUGAGCCGAUGUCGGAGUAGCUAGUUGGUGGGGUAAAGGCCCACCAAGGCGACGAUCCGUAGCUGGCCUGAGAGGAUGAUCAGCCACACUGGAACUGAGACACGGUCCAGACUCCUACGGGAGGCAGCAGUGGGGAAUAGUAGACAAUGGGCGCAAGCCUGAUCCAGCCAUACCGCGUGGGUGAAGAAGGCCUUCGGGUUGUAAAGCCCUUUUGUUGGGAAAGAAAAGCAGCAGGUUAAUACCCCGCUGUUCUGACGGUACCCAAAGAAUAAGCACCGGCUAACUUCGUG
rnacentral:rRNA from 1 species